UUGAGAAUUUGGUGAGACCACCUGCCUUUUUCACAUCUCCCUGCCCUCCAGCUGUCAGAAAGCUGCAUCCUCCACCAGCAUCUGGGGAAUUCCGACAGGUGGAUCUGAGGUCACAGCAGGACAUCUAAUGGAUAAACCUAGCAGGUUGUGGAGGCCUGGACUGGAACUCAGGAAAGAGGGCAAAGAGUGCAGAAGGGAUGAUAUGCCAGUUCCGCCAGCUUCCACUUGUGUAAUUUUGGAAGCUCUAAGCAACUGUGUAAGAAGUUCAGCCACCCAGCUGGAGAGGACAUGUGGAGCAAAGGGGCCCUGAGACUACAUGGAGAAAGAGGCCAAGCCUUUCCAGUGCCCUACUUGAGUCUUCAUAUGACUACAGUUCCAGCUGCCAUCUGACUACAACCUCAUGAGAGACCCCAAGUGAGACCAGCAGAAUUGCCCAGCUGAGCCCAGUCAAUUUGCAAAACUGUGGAAAAUAAUGAUUGUUUUAAGCCACUAAAUUUUGGCGUGUUUGUUAUGCUGCAAUAAGUAACUAAAAUAUCACUCUGUAUUUUAAUUGCCUACUUUGUUUGCCCUCCUAGGCUAUUUUCUGUGAGAGCAGGGAC